rnacentral:rRNA from 1 species
CCCUUAGAUGGUCUGGGCCGCACGCGUGCUACACUGAGUGGAUCAGCGGGUCAGGUUGCGCGAAAGUGUUUCCUAAUCUUGAAAUCCGCUCGUGAUGGGGAUUGACGGUUGCAAUUUUCCGUCAUGAACGAGGAAUACCUUGUAAGCGCGGGUCAUCAUCCCGCGCUGAAUACGUCCCUGCCCUUUGUACACACCGCCCGUCGCUCCUACCGAUUGAGUGGUCCGGUGAGGCUUUGGGAUCUGAGCAAAGAGAGCGUUUCGCUCGUUUUGCCCGGAAAACUCAGUCGAACCUUAUCAUUUAGAGGAAGGAGAAGUCGUAACA